GUGUACUCCUAAUUAAAGUGUCUUUUACUCCGUGUUCCCAGGCUCCCUCUUUCCCUUCGGUCGACGUGGGUGUGCCGGACGCCUCUGGCAGGACUAACCCCGUGGCUUUUAUGUCCAACGUGCUGUGUGCCUGCAGAAUUGCCACGAGAGGAAAUACUUCAGAGGGGCUUCCCUCCAGAUAAGCCCUGAAUGUGCCAGGAGGUUUCAGCUGGGAGAAAGGAGCUGUGGAAGAAAAGCAGCCUAAAAAUAGCCAGCGGGGAUCAUCAGGUUUUCCAGCCAAGAAAAACCAGGAGGGAGAUGAGGGAAUCGGGUUCCAAUUCCUAAAGAUUUGGUGGGUGUAGGAAUGAUUUCUGUGUGUUUUCCAGUCCCUUUUGAUUCCUGGGAUGAUUUUAAAAUGAUGGCUAAAUUGGAGAUGUUGUUUUUGAGAGGAAAUGAUGCCAAAUAAAUGCAGAGUUUGGGGUCAGUUUUUUGGAUGAUUUGGGUCAGGUUUUGGGGUCAGUUUUGGGUCAUUGUUUGGGGUGAUUUGGGUCAGUUUUGGGUCAGGUUUUGGGGUCAGUUUUGGGUCAGCUUUUGGGGUGAUUUGGGUCGGUUUUGGGUCAAUUUUUGGGGAGCACUGGGUGUUACUGGGGGUUGUUGGGGAGCACUGGGUGUUUACUGGGGAGCACUGGG